GUCAUUUUUUUGGGUUAGUAAUUAUUAUUAUUAUUUGUGAUAGAUAGAAUGGAAGCAAAUAGGGCUAUAUAGCGUUUGAUCUCUCUGAUUUGUCGAGACAAUUGUUAGUUGAAAUUGAGUGCACUUGAUUCGAUUGGGCAUUUUUGCAGGUUUAUGAAAAUGUUUUUAAUUUGUUAAAAAAUUUUAUUUUUAUUUUUGUGUUGGUUGCGAUCGCUGUAACGUGAAUGCGGGACCCUUAUACCACACAUUAUAGUGAUGGCUGUCGGGUUGCUGUUUAUUGUCAAAAACAAGAACAGUAAGAUAUAAUAGAACUAUUGAAUCAAUUGUUUUUAAGCCAUUAAAGUUUAGAGUUCACUUAAAAGUUCUGUGAAGGGUUUUAUACUUUUGUUUGCUGUCUGGUUUAUUGGAUUGAUUGUGUAUUUGGUUUCUUUUUGGUUUUGGGAACAACUGCUAGUUUGGACCUAUAUUUUUUUCGCUAAAUUUUGCAUCUGUUGUUCUCUACAACUGUUCUUUUCAGGGCAACCAUGAGCGACGAA
rnacentral:misc_RNA from 1 species